CCUACGGGAGGCAGCAGUGGGGAAUAUUGCGCAAUGGGCGAAAGCCUGACGCAGCGACGCCGCGUGAGGGAUGAAGGUCUUCGGAUCGUAAACCUCUGUCAGCAGGGAAGUACGGUCACUGUGCUAAUCAGCAGUGAAUUGACUGUACCUGCAAAGGAAGCACCGGCUAACUCCGUGCCAGCAGCCGCGGUAAUACGGAGGGUGCGAGCGUUAAUCGGAAUUACUGGGCGUAAAGCGCUCGUAGGCGGUAUGUCAAGUCAAGGGUGAAAUCCCCGCGCUCAACGUGGGAACUGCCUUUGAAACUGGCAAACGUGAGGGUGUGAGAGGAUAGGGGAAUUCGAGGUGUAGGGGUGAAAGCCGUAGAUAUCGGGAGGAACAUCAGUGGCGAAGGCGACUAUCUGGCACAUAACUGACGCUGAGGAGCGAAAGCGUGGGUAGCAAACAGGAUUAGAUACCCGAGUAGUC
rnacentral:rRNA from 1 species